AAAAGCAGGAAAACCGAACCACACGAUUUUCUUCUUAAUAGUUUGGCAACUUAAAGAUGUCCAAUUUUCUAUUUUUUUAAGGAAACAACAGAAACAAUCCAGAAUCUCAAGAAGUCAAGAUCCGAGAUCGGUUUAUAUGGCAGCUAUAUCAAGACAUGGACCAAUAUUGUCCAUUAACAAGCCCGAUCGAUCUACCCUGAUAGAUCGAUAGACAGACAGACAGACGGACUUGGCUGGAUCGACCUAAAACGUCAUGGCGAUUAAGAAUAUAUAUACUUAUGGGGUCUUAGACCAAGUUAGUUUACCCCAAUUCUUCGGUGGCAUUACAUUUUCGUUAUUGGGUAAAAUAGUCGUUUCGUUACAGCAGAGAAGAAAUACCAAGGCCUCAAAGGACUCAUACGAAGAAUAAUGUCUUUAAACUCUGUGGCUCAAAGGGCAAAGAAGAGCAAAAAAAGAACGCCAUACAGACUAUGGACAACAAAACAGCAGAAAAAAGAGGCCUACUCCAUGUAUUGCUUGCGGGGUUCAACGAAGGAAUGUAUGAUGGCUAUAUGGGUGUGUGGGUGGAUGGACGUUGUGUUCUGUAGCAGGGGUCUAGCUAUGACUGUUGGCUUGGUCUGACAUCCGGUAUGAAACAAAGAAAAAAAAGGCAGCAAAAAAUUCCCCGUGCAGGCGUUACACAUUACGGUUGUAAUCAUAAUUUUCGAUCAAGAAAAAUUGUAUAAUAAUCGUAGUAAUAUCACACAAUCACAUGAACACCCAACCACCCACUCAAACACACUCAUGUUUGCCACGUCGUCUCUAAGCACUUGUUUGGCAUAACAUGUACACAUAUACAUACUUUCACAGAUGUGUCGGCAUACAUUCACACACUCGAAGGAAACUCAAUGAAAACAAAGUUAUAACAAACUGUAAACAAAACUCUCACGCACACACACUCAAACACUACAUAUACAUAGAUACUAAACUCACAAAAUAAUGAGAGCAAAUAAAAAAACCAUCGAACCAUGAGAAAAAACAAAAAUAGAAGACCACCAACCUGGAAUAUGAAUGGCUCCGCCAGGAUGUCACCGAAUUCAAAGAAUAAUUUGCAGUGCACGAAGAAAAACCCCAAAAAGAUGGGUUUCAAUGCGCUUAAGCACCUCUUUGCUGCAUCACAUGAAUCACAUGCUCCUCAUAAAUGUUUACAGUUAAUUUUUCAUACACGAACGGCAAGGAUUAUUGGGAUGUUGCCAAAACAUAUUGCCAAGCUGCUGAAUUAUUGUGAUUGCAUAUGAAAGACAUAAAACAUUUACCCCUCAAAAUGCAUUUCACGUUUUGCCGAAAAACAUAUUUAUGAUUUUUUGUAGAUAAAUAUCACCAUCAUCAUCAUAGUGAGCUAGAGGGCCAAAAACAAAUCAUUGAAGUGACAAGUACACGUAAAAUCGGUUUACGUUGCCAAGGUAAACAGUACCAGAAUCUACAAGAGAACAUUGUCAGUCAUCCAAGGCAAUUGGGUGAGGUGGUUAGUACAAACUCAUAAAUAUUUGUUCAAUGAUGGUACUGGCAUAGCUAUUAUUUUGGCAACAAGCUUUUUUUUUGUUCAUUUAUAAAAAUAAAAAAUUAUGUAGGGAAAAAAUAAAGCAAAAACCCUUAAA